AUUGAACGCUGGCGGCAUGCCUUACACAUGCAAGUCGAACGGCAGCACGGGGCAACCUGGUGGCGAGUGGCGAACGGGUGAGUAAUGCAUCGGAACGUGCCAUUGAGUGGGGGAUAACGUAGCGAAAGUUGCGCUAAUACCGCAUAUUCUGUGAGCAGGAAAGCAGGGGAUCGCAAGACCUUGCGCUCUGGGAGCGGCCGAUGUCGGAUUAGCUAGUUGGUGGGGUAAAGGCCUACCAAGGCGACGAUCCGUAGCGGGUCUGAGAGGAUGAUCCGCCACACUGGGACUGAGACACGGCCCAGACUCCUACGGGAGGCAGCAGUGGGGAAUUUUGGACAAUGGGCGAAAGCCUGAUCCAGCCAUGCCGCGUGAGUGAAGAAAGCCUUCGGGUUGUAAAGCUCUUUCGGUGGGGAAGAAAUUGCACGGGUUAAUAGCCUGUGUAGAUGACGGUACCUGGAGAAGAAGCACCGGCUAACUACGUGCCAGCAGCCG
rnacentral:rRNA from 1 species